rnacentral:lncRNA from 1 species
UUUAAGUCAUCCGGUAAAUGUUGUUUGUCUUUAUUGAUACGGAGACGUACAAUAAUGUCAUGAACUAGGGGGAAUUCCUUGAUUAUGCUAAUACCGCCAAGAGAUAGGGGUAGGACGAUCAGUUGUAUUUUGCUUCCGUUUAUCAUGCAUUAUUGGUUACUAGGGGAGGCUAGAGAUAGCAAGCCAAUAAUUGGUAAUAGACUCUUUUCGCCAAGAGUUUGGGUUUAGGGUAGACUAAGAAAGUUUGCAUGACAAUAUGAUAAAUAAGCUAAGUAGAUAAGAAGAGUAGAUAUAAGAUGACAUUGUAAACCCCAACAACUCCAUUCAUCCAUAGUCUUUUGUAGC